rnacentral:lncRNA from 1 species
UAUAGUUAUGUGUGGAAACUUUAAAUGUUUAAACGAAAUUGAGAAUAACAACAUUUUAUUAAAAAACUAAUAAUCGUUAUUAAUAAUUAAUCUGUCAAGUCUUAAUAUCUAUAAUAAUAAAUUAUACAUAUAUUAAUUAAAAUUAAACAUCUAAAAAUGAAAAAAUAUAUUUUUAAACAAAUUUUACAAAUUUUUAAAUCCAAAUUAAUUCAAAUAAUAAAAUGAUUUAUAAGUACAUUGGUCACUUAUUAAUACAGUGUGUUUCACUCAUAUAAAAAUACAAAAUACUUUAACUGGAUAGAUAUAGAUUGAAAUUAGUUUUCUUAGGAAGUUAACACACAUUUCGAAUCAAUUAUCAACAUUUUAAGUUGGUCAGCAAAUUUCUCUAUAAACAUGUUAAAAAAAACCAUCAAGUGUAAUAAUGUUAUAAAAUAUUAGAGUUGAUUAAGUUUUCCGAAUCUAUUAAUUUUUGUUUUGCUACUCUUAAACUGUAGUGCUCAAUAUUUGAACUCUCCUCGACUUAAUUUAAAAGAACCUAAACUCCCAACUUUAUUAAAUAUAAUUCAGGUGCAUGUUGAUAUUUUUUAUUAUUUUAUGUUUAGAUACUCAGAAAGCUAAUAUGUAUGUUGUAUAUCAUAUGUGUCGUGGAAGUCCUUAAGAAAAUAUAAUCGAUGAUUCUAUUAUAAUGACAUUUUGGAUAUUAAAGAGAGCAAUGUAAGUUUUCAAACAAGCAAAAACAAAUGUUUAAGGUUUAACAGAUUAAUUAAUAAUCUAUUCCUUAAAAUAAUUUGUUAUUUAUGACAUCAAUGUAUGAAACACUAAAAAUAAAAUAAGGAUCUUAAUAUUCUUUGUUAUUUAGUGCUAUUUAGGUCCCCAAUAAAAAAAUAUGAUUUUUUAAACAAAUUUAAAAUGCUUUUUAUAUAAUUUUAAGGUUAUCUUUACUAAUAUGUUUUCAUCAUAAAACAGUAAUUUAAUAAAGGUUUUAUAUAUUUACAUACAAAUUUUAUAUUUUUUUGAUACAUAGUAUGAUUGUAAUUGGGAAAAUUAACACUCGUGAUAUUUUCCCUGGGACAGAGGAUAUAAUUUCUCCAGUGAAAUAUUAACUUAUUAAGAGAAAUUAUACCCUUCCCCACCCAUCAAAUUUCACUCAGUACAUAAUCACUGUCAUGCCAUUGUAUUAUUAAAUAAAUAACCAUUAAAAAUAGCAUAAAUUAAUGAAUAAUUUAUAACCUCAAAUUCACAUUUUUUUAAACUUUAUACUACUAUAACUCAUAAUUAAAAAUUACAAGUUAGAAUUGCUUAAAAAAAAAAAAAAAUAGGACAAUUCAAAUUGAAUGCUAAAAAUAAGUGUUUCUAUCUAAGAUGAUAAUGUAAGAUUUUAUUGAUUAUACACACAUCUCAAAAUAUACAAUUUAAGAAAAUUGACCUAAAAUGUGUAUUUUAGUAAUCUGAGAUCUUCUUAAACAUUUAAAUUUUAAUUGAAGUCCAUUCAGCUAAAAUAUUUUGUAACUAUUUGAGAAAAACAUACUGUACACAAGGUGAUUCCUAGAUCACAAAUCAGUAAUUCUAACUAGUAAUCUACAAAGAUUUUAGUUUUUUCAUACAUUAUAAAAUGAUUUAAUAAUCUUAUAUUCUUAAUAAUAAUCUUCAUACUUUUUUCCAUAUACCCAAACUAUAAACAUAUUUAAAAUAAAUGUUCCAUAUUUUUAUUCUCAAAUUUAAAAAGAUAUUGUUUUUUCUUAAAAAUUAAUAAAAAAUUAUCGAAACACAAAAUAAGGAAUAAGGUGAUAAUAUU